UAAUACGAAGGGAGCGAGCGUUGUUCGGAAUCACUGGGCUUAAAGCGUGCGUAGGUGGAUUGGUAAGUAAGGAGUGAAAUCCCAGGGCUUAACCCUGGAACUGCUCUUUAGACUGCCUGUCUGGAAUUCGGAAGAGGUUGGUGGAACUCCCAGUGUAGAGGUGAAAUUCGCAGAUAUUGGGAAGAACACCGGUGGCGAAGGCGACCAACUGGUCCGACAUUGACACUGAGGCACGAAAGCGUGGGUAGCAAACAGGAUUAGAUACCCUGGUAGUCCACGCCGUAAACCAUGUUUGCUAGCUGUCGGAGUCCUUAGGGCUUCGGCGGCGGAGAGAAAUCAUUAAGCAAACCGCCUGGGGAGUACGGCCGCAAGGUUA
rnacentral:rRNA from 1 species